rnacentral:rRNA from 1 species
UAGUCCAUGCUGUAAACGAUGAAUGCUGGUUGUCGGCCAAGGGUCGGUGACGAAGUAAACGCAUUAAGCAUUCCGCCUGGGGAGUACGGUCGCAAGAUUAAAACUCAAAGGAAUUGACGGGGACCCGCACAAGCGGUGGAGCAUGUGGUUUAAUUCGAUGCAACGCGAAGAACCUUACCAACUCUUGACAUCCUCAUCGGGGGGCACAGAGAUGAGCCCUUUCAGUUAGGCUGGAUGAGUGAC